rnacentral:rRNA from 1 species
GACGAACGCUGGCGGCGUGCCUAAUACAUGCAAGUCGAACGCAGUGGGGACGGGUGAGUAACACGUGGGUAACCUCCCAUCAGAGGGGAUAACACUUGGAAACAGGUGCUAAACCGAUACUGAUGGAUGGACCCGCGGUGCAUUAGCUAGUGGGGGAGGUAACGGCUCACCAAGGCCACGAUGCAUAGCCGACCUGAGAGCGGGAUCGGCAACACUGGGACUGAGACACGGCCCAGACUUCUACGGGAGGAAGCAGUAGGGAAGCUUCGGCAAUGGACGAAAGUCUGACCGAGCAACGCCGCGUGAGUGAAGAAGGUUUUCGGAUCGUAAAACUCUGUUAUUAGGGAAGCGGUACCUAAUCAGAAAGCCACGGCUAACUACGUGCCAGCAGCCGCGGUAAUUC